rnacentral:rRNA from 1 species
UUUGCCUACGGGGGGCAGCAGUGGGGAAUAUUGGACAAUGGGGGGAACCCUGAUCCAGCGACGCCGCGUGAGUGAAGAAGUAUUUCGGUAUGUAAAGCUCUCUCAGCAGGGAAGAAAGAAAUGACGGUACCUGACUAAGAAGCCCCGGCUAACUACGUGCCAGCAGCCGCGGUAAUACGUAGGGGGCAAGCGUUAUCCGGAUUUACUGGGUGUAAAGGGGGCGCAGACGGCGAUGCAAGCCAGGAGUGAAAGCCCGGGGCCCAACCCCGGGACUGCUCUUGGAACUGCGUGGCUGGAGUGCAGGG